GAAAAAAUACAAUACUACAGGGUACCAGGUCAUGCCACCAAAGUAAAUACCCACAGCAGACAAGCUUAGAACUUGACCCACUCCACGGUGAGUGUUUAGUUGGUGUAAACGCUUGGGGGCAGCUCAAGGACUUGUCCCAUCAGCAGUCACCAGCACAGAUGUGUUGAAAAGAAUACAAUGGAGAUAAAAGCAGAGCAGAGAAGAGGAAAACAAGUAGCUUCUAAACUGUGGGAUGAAGGAAAGAGGCAGUAAUGCCAUGUUGUUCUCUCUUCAUGAGACCAUCUUGCCAUCCUGCAAAGGUUCCACACCACGGGGCCAGGAACCAUCACCAGUGUGGUUCUUCAUAACUGGACAAUGUCAUUCCAAUGUCAACAAAGUGCUCCUGCAAAAAGUGUCCCCAGGAGCCUGCACUGAACUUAGUGUACAGGGAUGUGCGCACUUGCUGAGAGCAAAGAUGAGUGGACUGGGGAAUCUAUAUGUUUGAAUAAAAAUGCUCUCUCCUAGCCCUAACCAAUUAUUUCAUCUCUUGUUUCUACAGUCUUGGUCCAGUUCCAGGAAAGGGACUGCUUUCUGUGGCCAGGACGCCCUCUUCUGUUGAUGGUCAGUUUCAUUGUUUCAGUGCUUGUCAAGGGAGGUCAUAGUCACAGAGAGAGAAAGAUUUCUCUUCAAAGUCAUCUGAAGCAUCUGGUGCUGUCCAUUGUCACAGACAAAUUACUGGAGGAGAUGAAGCACUAUUCUGAGCUGAAUUUCUGAUGGAACUGGAGAUUUUGACUAGCUGAUUUGGGAUUCCUAGGGAUUUUAUGGACUUCCUGCGUGAACCAAAACCUGUCCAUUGGGGAUGCAUCUCUGUAUCACAGCUGGUGUUUCUGAACCUUCGUCUGGAGUAGAAAUUCAUCCCUGAUUUUUUUGGCUGGAUUGACUGUUUAGUCUAGGAACUCUCAAGUACACUUUGUAGGUGCUGGAAUUCCUCAUUCUCUUCAGUCAGCAGCUGAUGUGGUAUGGUGUACAUCAGGGUAUAUAUUCUGGAGUGAGCAAAGAUUUAUGCUCUUCCUAACUCCCAUUGAUGCUAAUGAGUAUUACAGACAUGUGUCCCGUGGAGCAAGAUGAGAACAUACCCCAGACUGUGUGUGGAGUUUGCCAUUAGGGCAUCCACACUGCUAAAAACAAUACAGAGAUCCCAAGGGUAGGAAAGUAAUUGGACCUCUACCCUUUUUUCUAACAACGCGAAUGUAAGAGAUACAUUUUAAAGUCUCUCUCAUUUCUCUCCCUCUCCUACCAGCACCUGUAUUAAUUUUUGGUUAUGAGUGACCUCACAGAAGAAUUGAUUUCCAUUUUUGAAGAUGUUUCCAAAGACUGACAACUCUUAUGGCAGCUUUGGAUACAGAAGAAAAAGCAGAUGUGGCAAAGAAUAAGUCAUAAUAAGAAACUGUCAUCCUUUAGAGCAGGGGUUCUCAAAUUGGGGGUCGGGACCCCUCAGGGGGUCGUGAGGUGAUUACAUGGGGGGGUCACGAGCUGUCAGCCUCCACCCCAAACCCCGCUUUGCCUCCAGCGUUUAUAAUGAUGUUAAAUAUAUUUAAAAGUGUUUUUAAUUUAUAAGGGGGGGGGUCACACUUUGAGGCUUGCUAUGUGAAAGGGGUCACCAGUAAAAAAGUUUAAGAGCCAUUGCUUUAGAGGAUCUAAAAAGUACACUAAAAUGUUGCACCCUGGAGAAUCCAGUAUGCCAAUAUAUGUGCUACAGUAAUUACACCAAUCUUGAAGAUCAAUAUUAUUCCCCAUCCCCAGCCGCAUCCAGUUUCUCAGGGGAAUUGAAGCUUAUGGGGAUAUAUACAGUUUAAAGCCCUGAUCCUACAAACUUUUACACAUGAGCUUAAUGCUAAGCCCCUGAAUGGUCACACUGAUUUCAACAGCACCGUUCGCAUGUAUUUGCACAAGUGUUUGCAUGAUCAAAGCUUAAGACUAGUCAAUGCAAAGAUUGUUUUCAGAGGGAGCCUGUAAAAUCUACUUUUGCAUAUAAGUUAAUAUUUUAUUGUCAUUCUGUAAUGUUGUGCAGUGGCUUUGUGAAACAGUCUAAUAUUUUAUACACUAUAAAAUGUUUCUGAUAGUAUUUUCCAUUUCUAACUCU